rnacentral:lncRNA from 1 species
GAAUUUAAUUUCAUUGAUCUAUAAAUUUGUUAGUCUAUUUACGAAAGUCUACACCGCUCAAUACUUCAGUGUGCGGUGUACUAGUAUGCAUCUAGAAUCGAAAGUUGUAUACCGCUAAUUAUUUAAAGUCAUGUAAUUGUUAAUUACCUUGAAGGUUGCACCCCAAAUUUCUUCCUCAUUAGCAGGUACUGCAGUAAUCUUAUUCUUUGGAUUCUCAUAACAUCUUAAUCCUCCAACUGCUGUUGAGUAGAAACAUCCUUUACAAUUUACAUAGCAACAUGUCAAUAAUGAGACGAUAUCAAAUUUGCGAUUUUCACCUCUUAACGUUCAAAAUAACAUUUUUGGCCCCUCUAACUUGUCAACGUAAAUGCGACAAGUGGAUCACAUGCCACGUCACCAUACUUUGCCACAUGGGAUUCACAUGCCACAUGUGCGUUGACGUGCAAAAGGGCUAAAAUUCAUGUUGAUGUGGCAUGCGAGUCAUUUCCACGUGUCAAUACAUGGUGAUGUGGCAUGUGAGGCACUUGCCACAUGUGCGUUGACGUGCAAAAGGGCUAAAAUUUGGGGACAAAAUCACAAGUUUGUAAAAGUUAAGGGCCAAAAGUACUAUUUUGAAAGUUAUGGGUCAAAAUCACAAGUUUGUGAAAAUUAGACGGCUAAAAGUACAAUUUAACCAUUUUACUAAAAUACUGCUAAGGAAUUUAUAUUUUUACUAAAAUCACAUUUCCUAGGAUAUAAAAUUAAUUUUGACACCCUUCAAUGAAGUUUAAACAAAUACUAAACACACACCUUGAGGGAAAGAAGCAAGUGACUUUCCACAAGCCCCUUUAAGCAAAUCAGCAUCAUCAGCAAAUGCUACAUACCCAUCAGCAGUUAUUCCCCAGUACAAAG